GUCCAGGUAACGGUAGCUGGCUUGAUAAAUGAGCCUAUCACUAGGCUAGUCGCUAACUAGCUAGGUUAGCUGACUAACAUCGCCCGACCAUGAGCUCAGCAAGCUGCUGCCCUCCUGCUAAAAAAGAGGUCUGCGUGGAAGGAGAAAGAAGGUAUUUGGCUGAACGUUGUCGUGAAAGAGGAGAAUGAGAGGAGGAUGUCACAGUAAACGAAGAAGUAGAGGGUGAGGCUGUUACACAGAAAGAAGAGGAAGAAAACGAUUAUACUUUUUUUGGAGUGAAUGAAGGAGAGAUAACUGUCAUAUUGAAGGAGGAGGAGAGGGAAGAAGAGGAGGAGACAGAAGAUCUGAGUAACACCAGAGAGAGACCAGACUCUCCUUCUGACAGCAGGA